rnacentral:tRNA from 1 species
GCUGGUGUAGCUCAAUGUGGCAGAGCGAUCGCCGAUGUUUGCGAUCGGUUGCAGGUUCAACUCCUGUCACCAGCC